ACUGGCUGCUUCUGCACAUUGCCCAGAUCCACAGAGCAGUGGUUUGUGGAAAGACUGCGGUAGUUCCUGUUUGCCCUUGUGAGAUAGAGUUUUUCUGGGUUUUCCUUGGACUGUCUGAGCUUUUCUUCCUUUCUCCUGGCCCUGCUGCCCUGCAGUGACUUUAGGACCACUUCCAGACUGAAAAGAAACAACUUUUUGUGGAGUUCUCCACCAGGCUCCACUAAUGGGGUUAGCUUUGGCCACAAGAGGAUUUUUCCUGGGACUGAGAGAAGAAAGUAGAGCAGAAUCCAUUCCUUUCAAAAGUUGUUGCAGUCAGGAAAAGAUGUAGUGAUGCCUGGCCAUCUCCAGCUUCCGUAUCAUAGCGGUCAUUACUCGCUACUAGUCUAAGUCAAACAACAAUGGCCUCACGAACUAGUGUACAUUUUCAGCAGAGGUGACAGCUUCCAAAGACCUCUCCAAGAACUCUACCUUUGGGAGUCCACUUCAGCUGCCAGAAGAGGAUGCGCGGCUGGAAGAGUUUUCUGCAAGCACUGUGUUGCCCACUCAAGUCAGUGUACAAGCUGUGAUGGAUGUAUUAGAAAAUCUCUGGACCUCAGAAAUUAUAAGCAACGUCUCCCCAAGUUACACUGCUUCUAUAUGAUGCAGGCUGGAGUCACAUCCACAUUUGUCCAAUGCUGUAGUCAACUCUUCGUAAUGUGCUACAGGAGAGGUAAGAUAAUGCAGUCUAGUCCACAGGACUAUGAAUGCAUGUGAUCUCAUUCAGAAGACUAAUUGUCACUUAUAAUUGCCAAACUAAUUAGUUAUAGUUAAUGAAUGGUAACUUCCACAAAUACUUACUUUAAUUUCCUAAGUAUUUUCGGUUAUACCUAUCAAAUCAUACUAGUGCCAUUCCGUAACACUUCGAUUUUUUUCAAAUAAACUUUUUCAAAGUGAAGUUUAACUUUUUCCUGAUACCUUAGUGAAUUUGGUGCUAUUUUACAUUUAUGACUAAAAGCACUUGCCUUGUUUGAGAUGCUCAAAUUGCCCAUAGUCUUCUAGGUAUGUAUAAAUCCCUGAGUAGUGAUUUUAAGAAAAAUAAUUCUUGCUAAACUUUUAUUCUCAAGGGAUUUUAUAUUGUCAACAUAGUACAGAAUCUUAAUUUAACUUAAGUUUUAAAUGUAUCUUCAUUUUUUUCUUUAUAUAAUUAACUUCAACAGGAAAAUAAUUGAUGAAAAACCAAUAUAUUUAUCAUUAGGAAGGUUUGGGACUUCUUAAACAGUACAAAAGUUAGCUGUGUAUUUAAGAAUGCAAAGAAUGCAUUGACUUCUAGGUAAAUGAAACAUAAACAGAGAAUCUGGAAUCUAAAAUUUGAUGAGAAUUAGUUUUCGAGUACUGUCUCAACAUAUUUCUCUAGAUAAUAUAUUGUUUAAAACCAUGUUAUAUCCUUGUCUAUAAAUACUACACUAAGAUCUUACAUAGCCUUGUAAAUGCACAUCAAAUGUACUUAUAGUAUUUCCUAGGACUCCAUGAUAUGCAAUUACUUUGCCAAAGACCUUUGGUUCUUCAUAUUUUAAUAUUGUGCGACCUAUUAUUAAUCUCAGUAUAUUUAUUUGCAUUUUUAAUGAUUUAAAUACAUUAUAUUUUUACUUAUUUAUUGUAUCAGCCUCCAUUUGAACAACUAAUUUGGUACCGCAGGUGCGGUCCUAAAAAGCAAAGAAAAACCCAACCAACCAACCAAACUUGCUUUGGGCAAGAAUCUGAGGAGAUGAAAGCUUUGCAAAGAUACGUUAAGACAUCAGUAGAGAAAUAAUCUUUUGAAAAAUAAUUAAGACACGAUAAGGAUAUGAAAGACACAUUAAAAAGACAGAUUAGUGAGGUAAUGUCAGGCAAGUGUCAGAGAGAAAAUGAUGUUUAAACUCAGACUUUCGGAAGACGUGUUCAUUGGUACAGAGAGUGAAGGUGGGCAAUCCAGGCAAAGGGAAUGGAAUGUGAAAAGGCACUGAGACUUCCCUGCCUUAUGGGGCCUGCCUGGCACACGAGAGAUGAGCCACUGGGUGUAUACGACAGCUGAUAGCUUGGAGGCAUGAAACAUAUCAAUCAAGAAAAUUAUAAUCAUAUUUUAUUCUAAAUGAAUAACGGGAAGCACUGUGAUGAGUGCUUUGGAGAAGUAAAAACUAGAGGCCAAGAAUAUUGUGACAAACAGUCUGGGAACAAGAUCUUGAGUGGUCUCUGAAUGAAAAUGAUGGACAAGCAGACAGAGAAGGCAAAUUGGAAUUUACUGAUCUAGAGAAGGUAAAAGCAACAAACCUUAGGUACUGAUUAGAUGUUUGAGUUUUGGAAGAUGAAGAGAGAGUCACCUUGGACUUUGGUCACUCACUACCUUAAUUUUUAUAUUCAUUCAUUCAGCAAAUAUUUGUUAAGUAAUGUCUUGGGAAAGAGCUGAAUGAGACUUAAUUUCCUCAUACCUUAUAGGGAAGGAUUGACACAUAAACAAUCCAAGGACGAGGGAUGGAUGCUUAAAAUUAUAACAAAAUCCAUGCAUAACUAACUACUCGGUCUAUUUAAAUUUAGAGAUUAUUUAAAUUCCUUAAAAAAGUGUCUUAUUUCACACCUUUAUAACUCUGUUUUUCCUGGGAGGGUGUUUCUGUUGUCCAGGUGUUUUGUUUCUUUUUGAAAUUCAGAGUGACAAUACACCAUUUCCAUCCCAGAGGUGUCUUUGUUUGCAGAGCGUUAUUUACUCUAUCAAAUGCCAGGGCUGCUAUAACAAAUUACUGUAAAUUAGGUGGCUUAAAAGAACAGAAAUGUAUUCUUUUAGAGUUUGGGAGGCUAGAAGUCUGAAAACCAGGUAUGGCAGGGAAGUUCUUUUUGAAAGCUCACCUGCAAGUCCUCUUCCUGCCUUUAAGCCCAUAACUUCCUUUUUCUUAGAACAUUCACUUUUCAUCACUGGGAACUGUAAAUUCUUUCUCUGCCCUUUUGAUAUGCAGAUCUUUUUCCCAGCUUCCUAUCAGUUUUACAACCCAGAAAUCUCCUUCUCAAGGACCACCUCUUUGAAACUUACUGAUGGAUGAAGGCCAGCGCCCCUUAUCUCCCAGUUCCUGUGAGAGGGUAGAAGCCUAAUUCUAAUUAGGAUACAAGUCAGUCAUUGGAUGAGGAGCCCAUGCUAAUCCAGCAUGACUUCCUUUUAACUGGAUUAAUCUACAAGUACCUAUCUCCAGAUAAGUUUACAUUCAUAGGUACCAGGGGCUGGGAUUUCAACAUGUGUUUA